UGAUCUGCAGAUUGCAUCAGAAAGACAGAGUAGCAUGACUUGUCUGCUUAAUAAUGUUUUAGUGCUACUGUUAAUAGCCUGCCUUCAAAACUGCUAGAAUAAAUUAACCACAGAUAUAAAAGGCAGUCAUGGGACUUGAAUUGAGUAUCUAACAUGAACAAAAUGUAUCUGUUUUACGGAAUCACUGAUUAUAUGAUUUGAUACUGAAUUAGAAAAAAUAGCAGGAUAGCACUUAGUCAAGUGUUUGCACUACUCUUCAUUCAAGACUCUGUAAUGAUUGAUGAAGAUACUCACCUGGACAAUGACUU
rnacentral:lncRNA from 1 species